rnacentral:rRNA from 1 species
GACGAACGCUGGCGGCGUGCCUAAUACAUGCAAGUCGAACGCUUCUUUUUCACCGAACUUCGGCUCAUCGAAAAAGAGGAGUGGCGAACGGGUGAGUAACACGUGGGUAACCUGCCCAUCAGAAGGGGAUAACACUUGGAAACAGGUGCUAAUACCGUAUAAUGCUUUUUCUCGCAUGAGAGCAAGCUGAAAGGCGCUUUUGCGUCACUGAUGGAUGGACCCGCGGUGCAUUAGCUAGUUGGUGAGGUAACGGCUCACCAAGGCCACGAUGCAUAGCCGACCUGAGAGGGUGAUCGGCCACACUGGGACUGAGACACGGCCCAGACUCCUACGGGAGGCAGCAGUAGGGA